rnacentral:rRNA from 1 species
UCAGACGAUGCGUCAUGCAUAUCAAUAAGCGGAGGAAAAGAAACUAACAAGGAUUCCCCUAGUAACGGCGAGUGAAGCGGGAAGAGCUCAAAUUUGAAAUCUUAAAGGGUUUCCCUUUACGAAUUGUAGUUUAAAGAAGUGUUUUCUGUUGAGGUUUUGGUAAAAGUUCUUUGGAAUAGGACAUCAUAGAGGGUGAGAAUCCCGUAUUUGACCUUUACUUUCAACUUUGUGAUACACUUUCAAAGAGUCGGAUUGUUUGGGAAUGCAGUCCAAAAUGGGUGGUAAAUUUCAUCUAAAGCUAAAUAUUGGCGAGAGACCGAUAGCGAACAAGUACCGUGAGGGAAAGAUGAAAAGAACUUUGAAAAGAGAGUUAAACAGUACGUGAAAUUGUCAAAAGGGAAGCGUUUGACACCAGUGUUGUUUCUUCUGAAAAUCAAUUAAAGAACUGUUUAUGCUAAGUUGUUUAGACUUUAUCAGCUAACUGUUUAGUUUUGAGCUUUUCUUUAAUGCACUUUUCAGUUAACAAGUCAACAUCAAUUUCUUUUGCUGUAAAAAAGCUUGAGGAAGGUGGCUUGAGAUUCGUCUUAAGUGUUUAUAGCCUCUUGCCUAUGCAGUCGGAGAGAUUGAGGUCUGCAGCGUAGAUCCUUCGGGGCUAAAUGCAUUUGUGCUAAGUUAUAGCAUUUUAUAGACAACUUGUUGACUAUGAUUUGUCUUGUAGCUUACUCGCUUAUGUUAUUUUACCUACGCUUAGGAUGUUGAGCGCAUGUCUCUCUCU